UUCGGCGGGUAGUGCACUUGUUGCUGUGGCUGUGUCAUGUGGCGGCGGACAGCGAUCGUGCCCGUCUAGCUCUAUACCCAGUUUCAGAAUCAUAUGCCCAUUUAUCCGUUCCCUCCCUUUGAAACUCUAGCCUCCCUUCUGGAGAAUAAGGAACAUUCAAUGCGUGUUUUUUGAGUGAUGUGUAGAAAGGUUUUGAGGUGUUGAACGCUCGAUCGCUAGGAGUAUGUCAGCUCUCAUGCACACUCGGGAAAAAGGCUGAUGUUUUGAUCUCAGUGCAAGAGGGAAGCUGCAUCGUAGGAUUCUCGGCAGGCUGGAGGCGAAAUAUCACCCCGACAUCAGCUGAUUACUUACCUCCUCCGGCAUCCAGAUCACGUUCCUCAUGAUUGCUUUUCGUCUGCAACAUCCGCUCCGUUGAAGAAUUGCAGAAAAAUGGUGUGACGGAGAGAGAUAAAUAGAAAGAGAGAGGAGAGAGGUAGAGAGGAAGAAGAAGAGAGAGAGAGGUAGAGAGGAAGAAGAAGAAGUGGAGAGAGGUAGAGAAGAAGAAGAGAGAGAGAAGGAGAGAGGUAGAGAGGAAGAAGAAGCAAAAAAGGAGAGUGAAUAUCUCGAUAAUUACUAGUGUAAAAGAAAGAGAGAAAGAAAGAGAAGGAUAGAGGAAAAGAAGAAUAGCAAGGAAGAGUGCAAAAUAGAGAGAAGGAGAAGGAGAGGAAAGAAAUGAGCAAGAGAGUAAGAAUCUCGAUAAUUACCAGUGUAAAAUAGAGAGAAGAAGAAAAAGUGAAAGAAAAAAGAGAGAAAAAAAAGAAUCUCUUUAAUCACUAGUGUAAAAGUUUCCUUUGCCGAUCAAGUGGUUUUGCACCUUGUGACGAGUGAAAGAAGGAUCUCAUUUGCAUAGCAACAUGAGACAUACUAUACCAUAUGCAUCUAACGUGUGAUAUACUUAAGUGGUUUGUGCAAGUGUCUUGUGUUGCAGAUUAAAGUGCAAUAUUAGAUCAGUUAUUCUAGAAAAAAAAGAAAGAGAUAGAAAGGAAGAAAGAAAGAAAGAAAGAAAAAGUAAAGAAAAUAGUUCUACAUAGAAAUAGAUACAAAAAAAUAAAUAUAUACUUUUUAUUUUCAAAAAAAGAGUGCAUCAAUUCUUGCUUGAUUAAGUGGCCGUAAACUGUGAUUGCAAAUGAACUCGCCUUCAAUUAAUGAGACCAUUGAUUAGCGGUUAAAUUGCAAGUUUAAUGAGUGCAUUUAUACAUGACUGACGAUGAGACAUAUUGCAACAGCAGAUGCUUGAGUGAUUUAGAAUAUUAAUGGAAGGUUAGUAACACCUCCCCCCCCCUCAUUAAAGCUUUCUCAUCAAUAAUGCUAAAAUAAGUCACUUUGUGGAUUCAACCAAUCAGUGAAUAAAAAAA